rnacentral:miRNA from 10 species
UUUUUAGUUAGGUUGGUGCAAAAAUAAUUGUGGUUUUUGCCAUUACUUUUAAUGGCAUGAUCCUCGAGGUUGAUCAUAUGAUCAAGCUUUUA